rnacentral:rRNA from 1 species
GAACGCUGGCGGCACGCUUAACACAUGCAAGUCGAACGGGAUCUUCGGAUCUAGUGGCAGACGGGUGAGUAACGCGUGGGAACCUACCCAGUAGUAGAGAAUAACUUGGGGAAACUUAAGCUAAUACUUUAUACGUCCUUCGGGGGAAAGCUUUAUGCGCUAUUGGAUGGGCCCGCGUUAGAUUAGUUUGUUGGUGAGGUAAUGGCUCACCAAGGCUACGAUCUAUAGCUGGUCUGAGAGGAUGAUCAGCCACACUGGGACUGAGACACGGCCCAGACUCCUACGGGAGGCAGCAGUGGGGAAUAUUGGACAAUGGGGGCAACCCUGAUCCAGCGAUGCCGCGUGAGUGAUGAAGGCCCUAGGGUUGUAAAACUCUUUCGUCAGGGAAGAUAAUGACGGUACCUGAAGAAGAAGAUCCGGC